GACGAACGCUGGCGGCGUGCUUAACACAUGCAAGUCGAACGGAAAGGCCCUGCUUGCAGGGUACUCGAGUGGCGAACGGGUGAGUAACACGUGGGUGAUCUGCCCUUCACUUCGGGAUACGCCUGGGAAACUGGGUCUAAUACCGGAUAGGAGCCAUUUUUAGUGUGAUGGUUGGAAAGUCUUUUCGGUGUAGGAUGAGCUCGCGGCCUAUCAGCUUGUUGGUGGGGUAAUGGCCUACCAAGGCGGCGACGGGUAGCCGGCCUGAGAGGGUGGACGGCCACAUUGGGACUGAGAGACGGCCCAGACGCCGACGGGAGGCAGCAGUGGGGAAGAUUGCACAAUGGGCGCAAGCCUGAUGCAGCGACGCCGCGUGGGGGAUGACGGCCUUCGGGUUGUAAACGCCUUUCGCUAGGGACGAAGCUUUUUGUGACGGUACCUAGAUAAGAAGCACCGGCUAACUACGUG
rnacentral:rRNA from 1 species